UUUACAUACCAUUUGACAUUUUUUUGUUUCUUUUGCUGAGAUACUAUUAUUUCUUCAACAUCAGUUUUCGUAUUAGCCAAAAAACGUAAUAAAUCAUAUUUUUCAUCACCAAUAGGCAUAAGGUCUACACGAUUCACUGAUUUGUUAAUGGCGCUUUUCUUAAAACGAAACCGUUUACGUUUUAUCUGACUGACAACUGGCUCCUCCGUUUUAGGCAUUCUACCUCCUGUUUGGUUUAACGGAUGAUGGUUGGCAACAUGGGUGAAUAAAGAAUCAACAUCAUCAAAGGAGACAUCACAGUGUCUACAUAAAAAUGCUACCCAAUGUCUUCCUGGUAAGCCUGCGACAUCUGUAUUGGCUAUCACACCCAUUCCUGGUAGUAGGUGAACUUGAGACAGUUCAUCAGAUGAGAAUACACCAAGAACAGAUCGUUGUAAGUCAACGUCUGAAACAAUGGCACACUUGAGCUGGAACAUAAUGCGGAACUUCGAAAAUGUUUGACCAGUUUCCCAUAGAGGCUGCACUUAACCUUCGAAGAAGUGGCUUUUGUUCUCCAUCGACAAUAGAUUCACCACAAAUAUUAGAAUACAGAACCUGAAUCCACAGAUACUUUGAAAAGAUAUCCACGACGACUAAUAGGUAUCGAAACUGACCGUUUUCACUUGCAAUGUUUGACAUAUCAGCGAGGUCCAUGUCCCACUGAUCAUCAAUUCCAGAUACAAUUACACGUGCAUGACGAAAAGAAUGACGGAGUUCCUUUCUUAAAGUGUAACUGUCUUGACUUCGUAAUAGUCUUUUUAUCCUGGAUCGUCCAACAUUAGUGAUUCCUUUGGAUUUUAAUAUUCUGUAUAUUUUUUCGGGACCUACAUGUGUGUUUUUAUAUGUGUUUGAUAUUAAAUCAUUUAUUCUAU